UUUUGGAAUAUAACAGUAAUCCAUAUCUUUUUCUAAUAUUUUCUUCAUUAUGUUUGUAGGAUGAUGUGAGAUUUACAAUUUGGAGUUGUGGUGAAAAAAAUGAAAUACAAAUGAAUGAAGUCAAGAAAAAUGCCGAAUCACCCGUCCAUACAUAAAAAGUUUACAAAAAUCACAAAAUAACACGGAGAACCACCAAAAUAGUGGUGGCUAU
rnacentral:lncRNA from 1 species